UACGAAGGGUGCUAGCGUUGUUCGGAAUUACUGGGCGUAAAGCGCGCGUAGGCGGCUUUGUAAGUUAGAGGUGAAAGCCCGGAGCUCAACUCCGGAACUGCCUUUAAGACUGCAUCGCUAGAAUCAUGGAGAGGUGAGUGGAAUUCCGAGUGUAGAGGUGAAAUGCGCAGAUAUCAGGAAGAACACCCGUGGCGAAGGCGGCUCUCUGGUACGUGACUGACGCUGAGACGCGAAAGCGUGGGGAGCAAACAGG
rnacentral:rRNA from 1 species